UACGGUAGGGUGCGAGCGUUGUCCGGAAUUACUGGGCGUAAAGAGCUCGUAGGUGGUUUGUCGCGUUGUUCGUGAAAACUCACAGCUUAACUGUGGGCGUGCGGGCGAUACGGGCAGACUGGAGUACUGCAGGGGAGACUGGAAUUCCUGGUGUAGCGGUGGAAUGCGCAGAUAGUCAGGAGGAACACCGGUGGCGAAGGCGGGUCUCUGGGCAGUUACUGACACUGAGGCGACGACAGCGUGGGGAGCAAACAGG
rnacentral:rRNA from 1 species